AAUAGAUACCCGGUACGUCCACGCCGUAAACGAUGAGUGCUAAGUGUUAGAGGGUUUCCGCCCUUUAGUGCUGCAGCUAACGCAUUAAGCACUCCGCCUGGGGAGUACGGCCGCAAGGCUGAAACUCAAAGGAAUUGACGGGGGCCCGCACAAGCGGUGGAGCAUGUGGUUUAAUUCGAAGCAACGCGAAGAACCUUACCAGGUCUUGACAUCCUCUGCCAACCCUAGAGAUAGGGCGUUCCCCUUCGGGGGACAGAGUGACAGGUGGUGCAUGGUUGUCGUCAGCUCGUGUCGUGAGAUGUUGGGUUAAGUCCCGCAACGAGCGCAACCCUUGAUCUUAGUUGCCAGCAUUCAGUUGGGCACUCUAAGGUGACUGCCGGUGACAAACCGGAGGAAGGUGGGGAUGACGUCAAAUCAUCAUGCCCCUUAUGACCUGGGCUACACACGUGCUACAAUGGAUGGUACAAAGAGCUGCGAACCCGCGAGGGUAAGCGAAUCUCAUAAAGCCAUUCUCAGUUCGGA
rnacentral:rRNA from 1 species